rnacentral:rRNA from 1 species
CAGUCGCCGCGGGAAUACGGAGGGGGCUAGCGUUGUUCGGAAUUACUGGGCGUAAAGCGCACGUAGGCGGCUUGGUAAGUUAGAGGUGAAAGCCCGGGGCUCAACCCCGGAACUGCAUCCGAGACUGGCAGGCUUGAGACCGGGAGAGGAGGGUGGAAUACCCAGUGUAGAGGUGAAAUUCGUAGAUAUUGGAUGGAACACCGGUGGCGAAAGCGGCUCUCUGGCCCGGAUCUGACGCUGAGGCGCGAAAGCGUGGGGAGCAAACAGGAUUAGAUACCCCCGUAGUCCCUGUCUCUUAUAC